GUGACGUAUAAUCUAGUGGACGAAACACUUCAACAACAACAGCGAGUCAUCCACCUCCGUAGCCAACAUAGCUGAACGAUUCAAGCUGUUUAGACUGUUUCGGUGUAUAUUAUCCACUAUAUUUUAAACACACUUCUGUCGGCUUAUGCCGUUUAGCUAUUUACCCCCUUUAAUUCCAUAUUUAGCUUUCUAGUAGCUAGCUGGAUGGCUAACAUCCCCGACCAUGAGGUCAGUAAGCUACUCUCCUCCUGCUAAAGAAGAGCUCUGCUGGACGAAGAAAGAGAGCCUGUGGCAGAACAUUGUUGUGAAAGAGGAGAAGGAAGAGGAGGAUGUUACAGUGAAAGAAGAAAAAUACGUUUCGGCGAAAGAAGAGGAAGACGCGUUCAGAGUGAGGAGGAGGAUGUUACAGUGAAAGAAGAGGCGGAGGAACAGGGGAAGAUAACUGUCACAUCGAACGAGGAGGAGACUAGGGAUCUGAUUAACAACAUUCAGUACUGUCUUGGAAACGGGCACAAACUGUCUGCAGUUGUUGAACUGAUGCAGGAGAGAGACCAGACUCUCCUUCUGACGGCAGGAAGAGUCCUUCAGGGGAACCAGACCCUGAGACGUCCAAACCAGCAGGACGACAUCACUGCUCCCAGUGUGUAAAGAGUUUUACUCAGUUAGGGAGCCUGAAAACACAUAAGAGAAGACACACAGAAGAGAAGCCUUACCACUGCUCCUUGUGUGGAAAGAGUUUUAGGUGGUUUGGAAGCGUGGAAAGGCAUGAGAGGACACACACAGGAGAAAAGCCUUUCUAAUGUUCCCAUUGUGGAAAGAGUUGUACCCAGUUAGGGAGCCUGAAGGAGCAUGAGAGAAUGACAUUGAGGUUAAAUAAAGUGUGCUUUAUCAAUGUAA